UUUCCGUAGGUGAACCUGCGGAAGGAUCAUUAAUGGAUUUUGAAACUUCAGGCUGCUGCUGGCUCUCCUCGGAGGGCAUGUGCACGCUUGUUGUCCAUUAUUUCUCCCGCUGUGCACAAAUUGUAGACCUUUCAGUCGGCCUAUGUUGUAUUUCACAAUCUCUGAAUGUAACAGAAUGGUUUUGAAUCUUGGGAAAUACAAUACAACUUUCAGCAACGGAUCUCUUGGCUCUC
rnacentral:misc_RNA from 1 species